rnacentral:rRNA from 1 species
UACGGAGGGUGCUAGCGUUGUUCGGAAUCACUGGGCGUAAAGCGCGUGUAGGCGGCCUGUUAAGUCUGAUGUGAAAGCCCCGGGGGCUCACCCCCCGGAAGUGCAUUGGAAACUGCCAGGCUCGAGUCCCGGAGAGGAGGGUGGAAUUCCUGGUGUAGCGGUGAAAUGCGUAGAUAUCAGGAGGAACACCGGUGGCGAAGGCGGCCCUCUGGACGGUGACUGACGCUGAGACGCGAAAGCGUGGGGAGCAAACAGG